AUACUUACCUGGACGGGGUCUAUGAGUGAUCAAGAAGGCUCAUGGCCUAGGUUGGUGACCUCCAUUGCACUUGGGAGGGGUACCCGCUUACGGUCUCCCCAAGUGGGAGAGCCAACGUCAUAAUUUGUGGUAGUGGGGGCCUGCGUUAGCGCGGCCCCUGC
rfam:Morus notabilis contig4404, whole genome shotgun sequence.